AUCCAGCUGACGAGUCCCAAAUAGGACGAAACGCUCGUCUCGGGU
rnacentral:hammerhead_ribozyme from 1 species